rnacentral:tRNA from 1 species
GCGGGGGUUGCCAAGCCUGGUCAAAUUGGCCGCAGAACCAGCGGCGCAGGGCUUAGGACCCUGUCCCGAAGGGGUUCGUGGGUUCAAAUCCCACCCCCCGCA